CUCGUAGGCGGUUCGUCGCGUCCGGUGUGAAAGUCCAUCGCUUAACGGUGGAUCCGCGCCGGGUCCGGGCGGGCUUGAGUGCGGUAGGGGAGACUGGAAUUCCCGGUGUAACGGUGGAAUGUGUAGAUAUCGGGAAGAACACCAAUGGCGAAGGCAGGUCUCUGGGCCGUUACUGACGCUGAGGAGCGAAAGCGUGGGGAGCGAACA
rnacentral:rRNA from 1 species